ACAUUUCAAAAAUGUCACCCAUAAGUCAUUUUGACUAAAUUCACAUGCAAUUUACUAAAUCGAAGCCUAAAACUUUCACACCUUCAUAAUCACAUAUUUUAGACAAUAAAUAUCACAUUCAAAUAAUUUGGUGACUCGGUUUAGCGGUCCCGAAACUGCUUUCCGACUAGGGUCAUUUUAGGGCUGUCACAACUCUCCCCCACUUAAG
rnacentral:lncRNA from 1 species